GUUGAAUGAGAGUUACGAAUGAUGGGUUGAUUGAAAUAUAUCGUGACAGGGUUGUUUAGGUGGGACAGAACUGAGACCGUGCUUGUAAUAUAUCGUGUUGUAAAUUUUCCCCUAUAGAACACUUUUGGAUGUUGUGCCUUAGAGUUUCACGAAAUCUGUUUGAACACAAGUUGUCAUAUGUUGAAGAAAAAUUGAGUACAUAAUUUUAAGGUUCCAGCAUUAUAUAGGUCAAAAAUGAGUGGACCAUUUUCAAUGAAUGUUAUGCAGAUUUUCUUCUUCCCUUGACUCACUCUUGGUUGUCUUAACUCAUUGGUGGUGAUAAUCCAUCCAUUCCUUCUUCCAUUUGCUUGUUUUUUAUGUUUGAAGCUUGAGCUUUUAAGCUUUUCUUUGCAUUUCCAUGGUGAUUGUUGGGUUUGAGUGACUUUAGAUUUUCGUUUUUCCUCUCCUUUACUGUUGUUCCUCACGUGUUUCUUUGUAUUUUUGGUUGGUUGGUUGAUGAAAAUGGGGUUCUAUGUGAGUUUUGAGUUAAAGAAAGCUUAAGGUGUUGUGUGGGUGUUGUGGGUUUGGCUCUUUUCUUCUAUAUUUCGGUUUUGAUGUUUGAAAAUAGUUUGGAACCAGAGUUUGAUGAUGUUAUUGGGGCUGGACAUUGCUUGAGUUGAAUGGUAUAAUGUUAUUUUCGUUUUUGCACAAGAGCUUAAAAAAAAUGGAAGAUUGGGUUGAGUUGAAGUAGUAGUAGUGUGGGUUUAUUGUCUUGAAUGGAAUUGAACUUUGAAAUGGGGUUUCUUGGGUGUGUGUUUUCUGUGUGAGGAAGAAGAAAGAGCUGGAGGAGUGUGUUUGAGAGUGAAAUUGCCGUGGGAUGUGUUGGAGAGGAGGAGAGAUGAGUGCAUUUAAUUUUUACCAUUUUUGGACCAACAAAAAAAGAUGCUAGUUUUGGCUAAAGAAAGGUUUCCAUUUUGGUAUUGCCCUUAGAGUGCAAUCUGACGAGAAUCACCUAGAUAAUGGAUGUGUUUUGUAGUUUGUUUUCCUAGCUUUGACUUUGCUUACAUGGCACAUUUGUUAGACCAUCCAAGUAUAUUCCAUUUGCGCAUUGGUUUUUGAAGCAACUUUUGUAGAAGUCUCUUGCAUUGCUCACGUAAAUUGUGUGCUUGGGUGUGUGAAUUCAUUUCUUUGCUGCAUGGAGAAGGCUAGGGCACGAUUUUCAAUUGGAUGUUUAAGCAUAUUUUAAUUUGUUUUGAGAAUUGGUGCACAUGCGACAAAAGACAACACAUUUGGUGGCUAAGUGAAGAUAGAAUUUUGAAGUUUGACUUGGUGGAGUGUGGGUCACGGCCAUGUGCCUUUUCUUGGCCAUUUGGACUUUUAAAAUUAAUUGUUAAUUGUCAUUUAGUCAAAGUAAUUUGCUAGGAUUAAAUUAGGCUUGUUGGUUUCUUUUGUUUUCAAUUAAAUUUCUUAGUAGGUUGAGUUGUUUUUAUGUGUUUAAGUUAAUUUUCCAUUUGAGUAUUUUUAACUGUGUUUGCUAAUUAAUUGGUAGCAGUGUUUGAUGUUUAGAUAUUGUCUAAUUUGUUUAGUCGUUUUAAUUUAAUUUCCAUGGUAGCUUAAUUUAAUUCAGUCGGUCAUUAGCCAUAUUGCAAAGUUUCCCUGAGGUUUCUAAACUGUGACUGUGUAGCAACUCUGAUCUGGUUAAUAUAAAUUCUGUUUUUGCACCUGCAAUUGGGUAUACGCUUAGUUGCCCAGUUGGUGUUACAUCUUCGCUUAGUUGAUGGAACUUUAUGGUGUAAAUCAGAGUUGAUAUUAACACUGCGUUCGCUUAGUCCACAGUUAUGAAGACAGAUUUAACCGUUGCUUAGUCGGUUAACUCAGUUGGAUUAGAGGUCUGAGUAGUAACUGUAUUUUGAUAAUCAGUGAUGGGAAACAUUGUGAUUAGGUUAAUGACUGACUGAUCUCAUUCUGUGUCGAUUCCGUAUUUUUAUAGUAUUGCUUGCGUUUCUGUUAAAUUUUCGUAUUUGCUGUAAUUAAAUUCUGUUUUCAUCUGUGUUUCCACAAAACGAUCACAACCCCCCCCCCCUCAUGUUUGACUCAAUUCUUGAACCACAAAAUUGGUCUUUGGGAGACGACCUAGGGGUCAUUCCCUAGCUAUACUGCAUUUAUUUGCACAUCAAAUUUGUGUGGGUUGCGACA
rnacentral:lncRNA from 1 species